rnacentral:rRNA from 1 species
GAUGAACGCUGGCGGCGUGCCUAAUACAUGCAAGUCGAGCGAACGGACGAGAAGCUUGCUUCUCUGAUGUUAGCGGCGGACGGGUGAGUAACACGUGGAUAACCUACCUAUAAGACUGGGAUAACUUCGGGAAACCGGAGCUAAUACCGGAUAAUAUUUUGAACCGCAUGGUUCAAAAGUGAAAGACGGUCUUGCUGUCACUUAUAGAUGGAUCCGCGCUGCAUUAGCUAGUUGGUAAGGUAACGGCUUACCAAGGCAACGACGCAUAGCCGACCUGAGAGGGUGAUCGGCCACACUGGAACUGAGACACGGUCCAGACUCCUACGGGAGGCAGCAGUAGGGAAUCUUCCGCAAUGGGCGAAAGCCUGACGGAGCAACGCCGCGUGAGUGAUGAAGGUCUUCGGAUCGUAAAACUCUGUUAUUAGGGAAGAACAUAUGUGUAAGUAACUGUGCACAUCUUGACGGUACCUAAUCAGAAAGCCACGGCUAACUACGUGCCAGCAGCCGCGGUAAUACGUAGGUGGCAAGCGUUAUCCGGAAUUAUUGGGCGUAAAGCGCGCGUAGGCGGUUUUUUAAGUCUGAUGUGAAAGCCCACGGCUCAACCGUGGAGGGUCAUUGGAAACUGGAAAACUUGAGUGCAGAAGAGGAAAGUGGAAUUCCAUGUGUAGCGGUGAAAUGCGCAGAGAUAUGGAGGAACACCAGUGGCGAAGGCGACUUUCUGGUCUGUAACUGACGCUGAUGUGCGAAAGCGUGGGGAUCAAACAGGAUUAGAUACCCUGGUAGUCCACGCCGUAAACGAUGAGUGCUAAGUGUUAGGGGGUUUCCGCCCCUUAGUGCUGCAGCUAACGCAUUAAGCACUCCGCCUGGGGAGUACGACCGCAAGGUUGAAACUCAAAGGAAUUGACGGGGACCCGCACAAGCGGUGGAGCAUGUGGUUUAAUUCGAAGCAACGCGAAGAACCUUACCAAAUCUUGACAUCCUUUGACAACUCUAGAGAUAGAGCUUUCCCCUUCGGGGGACAAAGUGACAGGUGGUGCAUGGUUGUCGUCAGCUCGUGUCGUGAGAUGUUGGGUUAAGUCCCGCAACGAGCGCAACCCUUAAGCUUAGUUGCCAUCAUUAAGUUGGGCACUCUAAGUUGACUGCCGGUGGCAAACCGGAGGAAGGUGGGGAUGACGUCAAAUCAUCAUGCCCCUUAUGAUUUGGGCUACACACGUGCUACAAUGGACAAUACAAAGGGCAGCGAAACCGCGAGGUCAAGCAAAUCCCAUAAAGUUGUUCUCAGUUCGGAUUGUAGUCUGCAACUCGACUACAUGAAGCUGGAAUCGCUAGUAAUCGUAGAUCAGCAUGCUACGGUGAAUACGUUCCCGGGUCU